rnacentral:rRNA from 1 species
AUUGAACGCUGGCGGCAGGCCUAACACAUGCAAGUCGAGCGGAGCGGCGGACGGGUGCGUAAUGCCUAGGACUCAGCCUGGUAGUGGGGGAUAACGUCCGGAAACGGGCGCUAAUACCGCAUACUAUCAGAUGAGCCUAGGUGGGAUUAGCUAGGUGGUGGGGUAAAGGCCUACAAAGGCGACGAUCGGUAACUGGUCUGAGUGGAUGAGCAGUCACACGGGAACUGAGAAACGGUCCAGACUCCUACGGGAGGCAGCAGUGGGGAAUAUUGGACAAUGGGCGAAAGCCUGAUGCAGCCAUGCCGCGUGUGUGAAGAAGGUCUUCGGAUUGUAAAGCACUUUAAGUUGGGAGGCGUUACCAGCAGAAGAAGCACCGGCUAACUUCGUGCCAGCCGCCGCGGUAAUUC